ACUUACCUGACCAUUGACCAUGCUGGCUGCCCAACAUCUGGCUGCUCCUGGCGCAGGCUUACCUUUACCUCUUGUUUUCCUGGUUUUUUAGAAACAGGCACCUUAAAGGCUGUGAUUCUAUGCAUAGUUACUCAGUUGUUAAGCUCCAUGCUUUCUCCUGGGAAAUUAUGUAUCUGAUCGCAGGCUAUACAUUGCUCAGAAGCAAGUUCCGUUUAAUUCAAUGAGGCUUGUUCAGCCCAUGGUAAGUUUCUAAAGCCUGGGAACUGCAAUUCAUAGCUGUCAACUUACAGAUUUGAAAAUAAGGGACCAGCAGCCUCGAAAAUAAGGGAUCAGCAGCCAAAAUAAAGGAUUUUAGUCGGCCAGCAGCCAAACGAAGCCUCAAGCGGUGGUUCCCACAGCGCAGCAACCCGGCAAAGGGGAUGCAGCAAGGAAAACCACCGUCACCUCUCCGCUGGGAAGCGCUGAGCAAAGGCGAGUCCCCAGGCAAUGCGGCCGAUUUGAUCGGCACAAGGCAUGCAAGCUCCACCCCCCAGUCAUUCUUAGACUCCUUAUUGGGUGAGCAACGCAGCCAAGCAACACAGUUGGAGCCUCCCUCCUCCCUGGCCGGCAGGGAGGGAGGGAGAGGAGCUGCUUCCUUUGAAACCCGAGAAAUUUAAGGGACAUCAUCAGUAAGGGACAGCAGCGGGACAUGGUGCUGGGAUAAGGGACUGUCCUGCCAAACAAGGGACGGUUGACAGCUAUGCUGCAAUUUCCCAUUCAGGGAGCUACAGUUCUCAGCACUCUUAAACCAUGAUUCUGGGGUUCUUUGGGGGAAAGCUGUUUGCUUUAAAUUUAUGGCGUGGCUCUGCUGGCAGGCUGCAGUCAGUGAGACUUGCUUCUGAGCAAACAUACACAGGACUGCACUGUAAAUAUAUUUCCCUACGACCACUUGUUUGCUCUUUGAUCCUCACAUGGAGACAUUUGGGGGGAUUUAUUCCAGUUGGAAAUUCAGGUGACUGUGUUCACGUACCACCACUGAUGGACACAGGGUUCUAUCAGACAUCAGUAAUACUCAAAAUAUGAGUCAUUGAAAUUAACUUACAUGACUCACAGAGGUCGGUCAGUUUGAAUGGGUCUACUCAACCCACAGACGUUAAGACCUCCCCCCAAAACAAUACAAAUGUGCAUUCCCCCCUUUGCAAAUUUUAGAUAUAAACCUUCCAAGAAAAGUUUUAUUAAUGCAAAAAUGGAGGGGAGGCGGAACUGACAUUCUAGAUCUUUGAGUUCAGUCUUUUCUUUUGGCUGAAAUUUAGGAUUCCAGAAAAAAAGGGCUAAAGGAAAAUUUACAAAAACCGAAGAAGAAAAGACAUUUACAAAGUCUUGGAGAUCUUCAUCUCUUGAAAGGGCUGACGGUGGGGCCAUCUGUCACUAAAGACUUCAUAUGUUUUAAAAUAACUUCUUGACUCAUGGAGACAUGUAGUUCUGCAUUAUGCUGUUGAAAUCACAGUGGUUCGGUGGGAGACAAAACAGCUCUGGAAAAAACAGUUGUGAGUUUUAGAAAUGUGGGUGUUUCAGACUAGCAUCUUAUAAUAAUAAUUUAGCAAUUCAACACAUUUGUGACCCUUUUGGUGUUAUAGGUAGAUACGGAAGCAUACAGCUGUCAAUAAAAUAUAUCUGUAAUUA